UACGUAGGGUGCGAGCGUUAUCCGGAAUUACUGGGCGUAAAGCGUGCGCAGGCGGUGAUGUAAGACAGAUGUGAAAUCCUCGGGCUCAACCUGGGAACUGCAUUUGUGACUGCAUCGCUGGAGCGCGGCAGAGGGGGAUGGAAUUCCGCGUGUAGCAGUGAAAUGCGUAGAUAUGCGGAGGAACACCGAUGGCGAAGGCAAUCCCCUGGGCCUGCACUGACGCUCAUGCACGAAAGCGUGGGGAGCAAACAGG
rnacentral:rRNA from 1 species